CGUCGCGUGGACCGCCGCGGACGGGGUGGCCGCCCCGCAGGAGGCCGGCGGCAAGAUGCCGAACCUGAACGGACUGUUCGACACGCUCGGCAACGUC
rnacentral:tRNA from 1 species